AGAGUAUGAUCCUGGCUCAGGAUGAACGCUGGCGGUAUGCUUAACACAUGCAAGUCGAACGAAAGUUUUUAACUUUAGUGGCGAACGGGUGCGUAAUACGUGAGAAUCUGCCCUUAGGAGAAGAAUAACUGCUGGAAACGGCUGCUAAAUCUUCAUAUGCCGAGAGGUGAAAUAGUUUAGGCUGCCUAAGGAUGAGCUCGCGCCUGAUUAGCUAGUUGGUAAGGUAAUGGCUUACCAAGGCCACGAUCAGUAGCUGGUUUGAGAGAACGAUCAGCCACACUGGGACUGAGACACGGCCCAGACUCCUCCGGGAGGCAGCAGUGAGGAAUUUUCCGCAAUGGGCGAAAGCCUGACGGAGCAAUACCGCGUGAGGGAUGAAGGAUUUUGGUCUGUAAACCUCUUUUCUCAAGAAAGAAGUUCUGACGGUACUUGAGGAAUAAGCAUCGGCUAACUCCGUGCCAGCAGCCGCGGUAAUACGGGGGAUGCAAGCGUUAUCCGGAAUCAUUGGGCGUAAAGCGCCUGUAGGUUGUUUACUAAGUCUGUUGUUAAAGACUAGGGCUUAACCCUAGAGAAGCAAUGGAAACUUGUAGACUAGAGUAU
rnacentral:rRNA from 1 species